GCUUAAAUUAGAGGGACAAAGGUUUAAAAAUAAUAUCAGGAAGUAUUACUUUACUGAGAGGGUAGUGGAUGCAUGGAAUAGCCUUCCAGCUGAAGUGGUAGAGUUUAAUACAGUAAAGGAGUUUAAGCAUGCGUAGGAUAGGCAUAAGGCUAUCCUAACUAUAAGAUAAGGCCAGGGACUAAUGAAAGUAUUUAGAAAAUUGGG